rfam:Salmo salar isolate Sally breed double haploid chromosome ssa09, whole genome shotgun sequence.
UGGCUCAAUUGGUAGAGCAUGGUGUUUGCAACGCCAGGGUUGUGGGUUUGAUUCCCAC